rnacentral:rRNA from 1 species
CCUACGGGAGGCAGCAGUGGGGAAUAUUGCGCAAUGGGCGAAAGCCUGACGCAGCGACGCCGCGUGAGGGAUGACGGUCCUCUGAUUGUAAACCUCCGUCAGCAGGGAAGAACGGUCACUGUGCUAAUCAGCAGUGAAUUUACGGUACCUGCAAAGGAAGCACCGGCUAACUCCGUGCCAACAGCAGCGGUAAUACGGAGGGUGCGAGCGUUAAUCGGAUUUACUGGGCGUAAAGCGCGCGUAGGCGGUAUGUCAAGUCAAGGGUGAAAUCCCCGCGCUCAACGUGGGAAUUGCCUUUGAAACUGGCAGACUGGAGUGUGUGAGAGGUUAGUGGAAUUCCAGGUGUAGGGGUGAAAUCCGUAGAGAUC